GAGAGGCCGCAGGAGUCGGAGGGGACAGUGGGGCGCUCGUGGGAACUAAUACCGACCGGGGAGCUGAGGCUACGACUGGUGCGCCCGACCGGGGAACUGAGGCUACGACUGGUGGAGGGGUAUCGGGGAGUGAAGUAAUCGGAGGCGGGGUCGCAGGUGCCACGAUCGGUGCAGGAGUGGGAGGAGAAUUUUCAACAGGUGGAGGACUGUCAGGGAGUGAACUCAUCGGAGGCGGAGCCGCAUCCACAACCGGUGCAGGAGUGGGAGGAGAAUUUUCAACAGGUGGAGGGCUGUCAGGGAGUGAACUCAUCGGAGGCGGAGCCGCAUUCACAACCGGUGCAGGAGUGGGAGGAGAAUUUUCAACAGGUGGAGGGCUGUCGGGAGAUGAAGUAACAACCACCGGUGCCGGAGUGGGAGGAGAAUUAAUUUCCAUUGGCGGAGGACUAUCCGGAAUUGACACCGUCGGCGGAAUUGCAUCCACAACCGGUGGCGGAGUGGGGGGAGAAUUAACUUCCAUUGGCGGAGGACUAUCCGGAAUUGACACCGUCGGCGGAAUUGUAUCCACAACCGGUGCCGGAGUGGGAGGAGAAUUAACUUCCAUUGACGGAGGACUAUCCGGAAUUGCAUCAACAACCGGUGCUGGAGUGGGAGGAGACUCAAUCACCGUUGGAGAAGAUGGUGUGUCUGCAACCGGAGAUGACUCACUCGUGGGAGAGAUCUCCGAUGUUAUGGUGGUAGGAGCAGAGGCAGAGGCAGGGGACAUAGCAUGAACGCCGACCGACAUUGCCACAAUACACAUAAGUAAACCAACCGUCGCAACACUCCGGUGAUCCAUGUAAAAAAACUGCCACUGCUAUGCAAAAAUAAGAAGACGAAGAAUGAAAAGACACUAAGUGUGAUUUAAAUAGCAUCAGAAAAACAUAAAAAUGAGGUGAUUUAUAUACCAGAACUAUACCAGA
rnacentral:lncRNA from 1 species